GGCUUCUCGAACUUAGUUUAUGGGAAGUCGUACCUGCCCAGUGAAGUUUUAACGGCCGCGGUACUCUGACCGUGCAAAGGUAGCAUAAUAAUUUGCCUUAUAAUUGAAGGCUGGAAUGAAUGGUUUGUCAAGGAUAAAACUGUCUCUAUAAAAUUUUAUAGAAUUUUAUUUUUAGGUGAAAAAGCCUAGAUUUUAUUAAAAGACAAGAAGACCCUAUCGAGCUUUAAAAAACUUAGUAAAUAUAUACAACAAAUUUGAAGUUUAAUUAUAAAAAUUUUGGUUGGGGCAACCUAGGAGUAAACAAAGCCUCCUUUUUUUGAAAAACUAUUUUGUUAGGAUCCAAAAAUUUUGAUCAAAAGAAAUAGUUACCGUAGGGAUAACAGCAUUAUUUUUUUUAAGAGUUCUUAUCGAAAAAAAAGUUUGUGACCUCGAUGUUGGACCAGAAUAUCCUGAAGGUGUAGAAG
rnacentral:rRNA from 1 species